rnacentral:rRNA from 1 species
UACGUAGGGGGCGAGCGUUGUCCGGAAUUAUUGGGCGUAAUGAGCUCGUAGGCGGUGUGGCGAGUCGGCCGUGAAAACCUGCAGCUUAACUGUGGGCUUGCGGUCGAUACGGGCAUCACUGGAGUUCGGCAGGGGAGACUGGAAUUCCUGGUGUAGCGGUGAAAUGCGCAGAUAUCAGGAGGAACACCGGUGGCGAAGGCGGGUCUCUGGGCCGAUACUGACGCUGAGGAGCGAAAGCGUGGGGAGCGAACAGG